UCCGCCGCUGAGGGCCGCACCCACCCGCCGCCUUCCCGACUCGCACCGCGCCACCUCCCCGCGGCUAGAGGGGCCCCGGCGGCGCGCGACUGCUCCGGACGACAGGCCUGGAGCGCCCUCGCCGGGAGCGGCGGCCUCAUCGGCUCUGGCCCCUCAGACCUCCCCAGCCCCCUGCGCCUGGCGUGCGUCUACCUGGGGGCUGCAGGGGCCGUUCUCAGUCGACCCCGCGGGGAACCGGACACAAUGUUUGAGGCAGAUCACUAACACCACCCUUUUGGAUUGUGUUGUUUGGACUUCUAGAUCAUCAUUUACUUUUCACCACUUGAUCUGUUUUGGAUUGGAAAAGGACUCCUCAAGAAAUGACAGUCCCUUGGUGCUGCAUUUAACUGGAGAGGAGCUCAGAGAUGGGAGAUAGUAAUUAUGACACCCGAAAUGUCAAGCUCUUCAAAAGUCUGCCAUUGCCCUCCCUGGCACCCUGAACAGCUCUGGGAACCUAAACCGUGCAGCCCCCGAAAGCAUGCCCUGGGACUCUCAGCCAGGCCUCACCUGGGAAAUCUGAGUGACGUUGACACGCAGGCAGCAGAAAGACACAGUGAACUGAGGAGACUGUGCUGAGCUCAGAAGAGGUCAUUUUAUAACUACUUGCCAAGGUCACAGGAUCCCGACUGCUAAGAGGAGGAGCCUGUCCAGCCUUUUGGUGCACAUUAGCCCUCUGCAACUAGACCUGAUCAGAGCAGUUUCUUUAGGCUGUGCCAGUGUCAACGGGUGCCUCCAUUCCCACUUCAGAUGUGUGGUUGAGACUGCUAUCUUGACCUUGACCAUGAAGCCCACCAUGUACCCCAGUUUUUUCUCCUGGCCUUUCUUUUUGCCCUAACUAGGAGAUCUUAUCUAUGUUCUCAUGGAGAGCAAGACAGAAAUCAUUGUUCUGCAGUUUUUCAGUGUUAAGAACUUUCAGGGAGCACAUUCACCCUUACAAAACUUAGGCACCAGAGAAAAUGCUCGUGUGUGAUGUGCACUCUGAGCCAGGAGUGUUUGUGUUUUCACAAACAGCAUAUAUACAGACACACUGCUUCAGGACCCCUCCAGCCAUCUUAUUCUACGGAAGAGGAAAGAGACCCAGAGAAAUGAAUGCACUUGUCCACAUCAAGUAGCUUCUCAACUGCAAACCUAGGAUUAGAAUUCAGGUAGUUAACCAUUUUGUUACAUGCGAACAGCCUGCGUCGUUUUCUGCCAUGGAGCUUGGGUUUGAGAAAAUCCUAACAACUGACCACUCAGAGCUGGAGUCAGGUCUAACCAGGAGGUGGUACCCCAGUUCCUCAAUCUUGCCAGACAAGCCUCCCCAAACUUUGUGAAUGAAGGCCAAGGAAGAAAAUGUUGCAGUGCCUCCCUUUGAGCGCCUAUUUCUUUCUUGUUGCAAAAAGUGCUUAUUUCUGCAUUCAUCAUCUCCCUCUUUGUUGUGUAGACAAUUUACCCUGUCAGAGGAUUUGUGCUGUUAUUAUGAGUUUGUUUAUUAUUAGAUUUAUUUCUCCUAUAAGCAAAUGUGUUCACAACAUUCCAUCGGGGGAUCUUUUUAAUUGUCACAUAAAUGUCAUCUUA